rnacentral:rRNA from 1 species
AGAGUUUGAUCAUGGCUCAGGAUGAACGCUGGCGGCGUGCCUAAUACAUGCAAGUCGAGCGCCUUCACUUUGCCCAUUAGUUAAAGUGUAAUAUCUAAGCACUAAUAUCUAAUUUCUAAACAAGCACUAAAUUUUAAUAUUUAAAUAAUUGGAAUUUAAGAUUUGUUUAGGAUUUAGUACCUAGGAUUUAGAAUUUCACUUACAAAUACUAGUGAGUAGUGUGAAGGAGCGGCGGACGGCAGAGUAACGCGUACGAACGUACCCCAAACUGAGGGAUAAGCACCGGAAACGGUGUCUAAUACCGCAUAAUACCUCCGGGUUAAAGCUACGGCGGUUUGGGAGCGGCGUGCGUCUGAUUAGCUAGUUGGUGAGGUAAAGGCUCACCAAGGCGACGAUCGGUAGCUGGUCUGAGAGGAUGGCCAGCCUGACUGGAACUGAGAACGGUCCAGACUCCUACGGGAGGCAGCAGUAGGGAAUUUUCCACAAUGGGGGCAACCCUGAUGGAGCAACGCCGCGUGCAGGAGGAAGGCCUUCGGGUUGUAAACUGCUUUUAUCUGUGACGAUUUUGACGGUAGCAGAAGAAUAAGGAUCGGCUAACUCCGUGCCAGCAGCCGCGGUCAUACGGAGGAUCCAAGCGUUAUCCGGAAUUACUGGGCAAAGAGUUGCAGGUGGCAUAGUAAGUUAGUAGUGAAAUAUCCUGGCUCAACCAGGAAAACAUUACUAAAACUGCUAAGCUUGAGCAUAAGAGAGGUAGAUGGAAUUUCUAGUGUAGGAGUGAAAUCCGUAGAUAUUAGAAGGAACACCGAUGGCGUAGGCAGUCUACUGGCUUAUUGCUGACACUAAGGCACGAAAGCGUGGGGAGCGAACGGGAUUAGAUACCCCAGUAGUCC